GCCCGCCUAGCUCAAUCGGAUAGAGCGUCAGACUUUUACAAGGUCUGCCUGGCGGCGACUUAUCUGAAGGCUGCGAGUUCGACCCUCGCGGUGGGCU